ACUUUCAAGGAAGAAGCAACAACUCCACC
rnacentral:tRNA from 1 species